UACGGUCUGGACGGGACAGCCGUUCCGCAGCGUGUCGCGAGUUUGACAUAUCUAACCUGGACAGAUAACACGGACAGUUCAAUAUAAUUACAUCUACAGAUAUAAAUAGCGGAGCCGCAGACGCGCUUGUAGUCUCUCGUGAGAUCAUGCUUUUAUCGCGAGAGUUCGCCAGCUCCAACGUAAUGUAUUUCUGUUCAAAGUAACCGCUAUUCAUGUUUUGCCCUUUGUACAUCGCCCUUACUUAAUUAAUUAGACUCCUGAUGUGACUUACAUUGUGUUUAUUGAAUAAUGCUGCAAAAUAAAUUCCCCAAAGAUCGCACUCUCCGCCAUUUUGUAUUGCGUAAUCACAGCUCAGCUCAGUGUGAAGCUAACUUUAGAAACGUCAUUAGCUCGUCACCAACGCCGAAGGCUUCACCGCGAACGCAAACGGCAGCCAGCCGCCUCGCCUCUACAGCCAGUGAUGUGCCCGGAGAUCAACGGCUUUCUCCCCCCUCUCUCUCCCACGCCACUAACAGACAUUUAUGGCCCGUGCAAAGUCAUGCCACCAGUCUGAGGACAUCACUGGGAAUGGCACAUGGGACACGUGGCUUUCAACUCCAGCGAGACCCAAGUCGACUGGACCACAGCGGAAAAUGAUCCUUCCAGAGAAGAAGUUAUUUACUUCUACAACGAAUGGAAGAGUUACAACCUCCAGAUGACAGCUCUCCGCUCAUCCUUCUGGGCAACUUAAACAUCCGACAGAACUUAUGUGACCCUACUGCGUUUUAUUUUCUCCUUUAGCUCUCAUUUAAGUAUUAAAAUUCGCUGUAUUUUUGCAAGAGAGGCACCAAUCCUAUUUGAGUGACGUUUCGAUUGUGAAAUUGUAUUGGACCAUAUAGGUCAUCUGCAGAGCGUUGGCCCCUGGCGCAGUAAACCAGGGUUUGAUUCUUGGCAUGCACAAGACUCCUCAUGUGACUUAAAAUGAAUCCAGAAUGCAAUAUUUGUUCAGUAUGCAAGGGCAGUGAUUUAUUUAGUCAUGUUUGGUCAUGUUUUGGUUUUUUUACAUGACAAUAUGGUUUGGUACAUGCUGAGUUAAUGAAUAUACAUUCUAAAGUGCAAUGUCCAUAUGUGAAUAAGAGUUGUAUACGUUUUUCAUAGUCAAUAUGGUAUGGAAAUAUCCCUUAUGUAGUUGGUCAAUAGGAACUAUAGUAGGCAGUAAUAACAGCUAAGGUAAUUACAGGUGGAUAUUUCUGGGAAUUAACCUUAAAUGAGACUGCAUCUAUGAUAUCUAAGAUAUACAGGACAAGAAAAAUGCACUGGAUGUGUAUAUGUGUUGAAUCAAUUAUACAGACGCAAACUGGAGAACGAGACAAGUGUUGCUGUGAUACUUAUUGUGGUCAUCGUGCCCGAGACCCGUAACAAUUACUCCGCAGGUCUUUUGCAGCGGGGCAACAGCCCGGCGUCGGUGGAUUCCGUUCGCGAGGCCGCAGAUUAAGGUUUGAAUGGCAGCCCCGAGAGUGAUUUGUUUAGUCUCUUUAGUCUUUUUUGACCCGCGAGCCCGGCCGACCGCCGCCCCACCCCGACGUGCGAGAAUAGGCGAAGGCCCGUUCAUC